rnacentral:tRNA from 1 species
GGAGGGGUGCGUGAGUGGUUGAUACGGCCGGUCUCGAAAACCGGUUCCCGAUUUUAUCGGGACGUGGGUUCGAAUCCCACCCCCUCCGCCA